GACGUAGGGCGCGAGCGUUGUCCGGAUUUAUUGGGCGUAAAGAGCUCGUAGGCGGCUUGUCGCGUCGUCCGUGAAAACUUGGGGCUCAACCCCAAGCUUGCGGUCGAUACGGGCAGGCUAGAGUUCGGUAGGGGAGACUGGAAUUCCUGGUGUAGCGGUGAAAUGCGCAGAUAUCAGGAGGAACACCUGCGGCGAAGGCGGGUUGCUGGGCCGACACUGACGCUGAGGCGCGAAAGCCAGGGGAGCGAACGGG
rnacentral:rRNA from 1 species